rnacentral:rRNA from 1 species
UACGGGGGGGGGCAAGCGUUGUUCGGAAUUACUGGGCGUAAAGGGCGCGUAGGCGGUUCGCUAAGUUGAAUGUGAAAACUCUGGGCUUAACCCAGAGCCUGCAUUCAAUACUGGCGGGCUAGAGUUCUGGAGGGGAUAGCGGAAUUCCUGGUGUAGCGGUGAAAUGCGUAGAUAUCAGGAGGAACACCGGUGGCGAAGGCGGCUAUCUGGACAGAGUCUGACGCUGAGGCGCGAAAGCUAGGGGAGCAAACGGG